AGAGUUUGAUCCUGGCUCAGAACGAACGCUGGCGGCAUGCCUAACACAUGCAAGUCGAACGAGACCUUCGGGUCUAGUGGCGCACGGGUGCGUAACGCGUGGGAAUCUGCCCUUGGGUUCGGAAUAACAGUUAGAAAUGACUGCUAAUACCGGAUGAUGACUUCGGUCCAAAGAUUUAUCGCCCAGGGAUGAGCCCGCGUAGGAUUAGCUUGUUGGUGAGGUAAAAGCUCACCAAGGCGACGAUCCUUAGCUGGUCUGAGAGGAUGAUCAGCCACACUGGGACUGAGACACGGCCCAGACUCCUACGGGAGGCAGCAGUGGGGAAUAUUGGACAAUGGGCGAAAGCCUGAUCCAGCAAUGCCGCGUGAGUGAUGAAGGCCUUAGGGUUGUAAAGCUCUUUUACCCGGGAUGAUAAUGACAGUACCGGAGAAUAGCC
rnacentral:rRNA from 1 species